rnacentral:rRNA from 1 species
CCCUUAGAUGUUCUGGGCCGCACGCGCGCUACACUGAUGCAUUCAACGAGUCUAAAACCUGCUCUGAUAGGGGUGGGUAAUCUUUUGAAUGUGCAUCGUGAUUGGGAUAGAUGAUUGCAAUUUUUCAUCUUCAACGAGGAAUGCCUAGUAAACGCAAGUCAUCAGCUUGCAUUGAUUACGUCCCUGCCCUUUGUACACACCGCCCGUCGCUCCUACCGAUUGAAUGAUCCAAUGAAUAUCAUGGAUUGAGGAUGCAAGCAGGUUCGCCUGUCUUCAUCUUCGAGAAGUGAAGUAAAUCUUAUCAUUUAGAGGAAGGAGAAGUCGUAACA